rnacentral:rRNA from 1 species
GAUGAACGCUGGCGGCGUGCCUAAUACAUGCAAGUCGAACGAUAGCCUCGUUUUCGGAUGAGGUGAAAGUGGCGAACGGGUGAGUAACACAUGGCUGACCUGCCCUUCAGAGGGGGACAACUGCUGGAAACGGCAGCUAAUACCCCAUACGCUCGGGGAGAUUAGAGGCUCCUUGAGGAAAGCCUACGGGUGCUGAGGGAGGGGGCUGUGGCCCAUCAGCUAGUUGGUAGGGUAACGGCCUACCAAGGCGAGGACGGGUAGGGGGCCUGAGAGGGUGACCCCCCACACGGGCACUGAGAUACGGGCCCGACUCCUACGGGAGGCAG